AUACGGAGGAUGCGAGCGUUAUCCGGAUUUAUUGGGUUUAAAGGGUGCGCAGGCGGCCAUUUAAGUCAGCGGUUAAAUCGUGGGGCUCAACCCCAUUCUGCCGUUGAUACUGGGUGGCUUGAUUGCGGUCGAGGUUGGCGGAAUUCGUUGUGUAGCGGUGAAAUGCAUAGAUAUGACGAAGAACACCGAUUGCGUAGGCAGCUGACCAGACCGCAAAUGACGCUCAUGCACGAAAGUGCGGGGAUCGAACAGGAUUAGAUACCCUGGUAGUCCGCACAGUAAGCGAUGAAUACUUGUUUUCGGCGAUAUAAUGUCGGAGGCAAAGCGAAAGCGAUAAGUAUUCCACCUGGGGAGUACGCCGGCAACGGUGAAACUCAAAUGAAUUGACGGGG
rnacentral:rRNA from 1 species